UCUAAUCCCUUCCCGGCCCACCACCACCAGCCCCGACCACCAUCAACCACUCCUCUCUCUCUCUCUCUCUCUCUCUCUCCCCUUUUCUCUCUCCUCUCUCUCUCUCUCUCCCCUUUUCUCUCUCCUCUCUCUCUUUGUCGCUCUCUCCACCUCGGCCUCUCUCUGCUUCCGCUCGGCUCCACCUCUGCCUCUCUCCACCUUCGCCACAUUUAGGAGUUUCGGUGCUCCGCCACCAUUUUGUAGAUCCCACAGGUGCACUAGCUAUUUUGGUUCCACAAGCUAAAGAUGUCGUAUUAUUGGGACUAUGAUGCCAUCUAUGAUUAGGUGCAGAUGAUCGAGCGUACAUCAGAAGCAUCGAUAUGAACUGGCAUCAUCUAGCACUCCACCCUGCAGCUGAUCCCCUCGUACCCGAUGGCGACGACGAUGACAACAAACAU